rnacentral:rRNA from 1 species
UACGGAAGGCAGCAAUGGGGAAUAUUGCACAAUGGGCGCAAGCCUGAUGCAGCCAUGCCGCGUGUAUGAAAAAGGCCUUCGGGUUGUAAAGUACUUUCAGUCGUGAGGAAGGUGUUAAGGUUAAUAACCUUAGCAAUUGACGUUAGCGACAGAAGAAGCACCGGCUAACUCCGUGCCAGCAGCCGCGGUAAUACGGAGGGUGCGAGCGUUAAUCGGAAUUACUGGGCGUAAAGGGCACGCAGGCGGUUAAUUAAGUUGGAUGUGAAAUCCCCGGGCUUAACCUGGGAAUGGCAUUCAAGACUGGUUAGCUAGAGUCUUGUAGAGGGGGUAGAAUUCCAUGUGUAGCGGUGAAAUGCGUAGAGAUGUGGAGGAAUACCGGUGGCGAAGGCGGCCCCUGGACAAAGACUGACGCUCAUGUGCGAAAGCGUGGGGAGCAAACAGGGAUUAGAUACC